CAAGAUGGCCGCCGGCCUCUCCUUUCCAGGCAAACACACUAUUUUACCGUUUUCUCCACCUGUAAAGCCUGACGGAGGUGUCUGAGGCAGUAUAUCAUGUGGCUCAAACUCCAUCCUGGAGCUCCAGAAGAGGCCCUCUGGACUGGGGCCCAAGCAGCGGUGGACUCUCAACAACUCCGUCAAGUAACCCAAGAGAGGAGGAAGAGCAUGGACAAUUUACAACAAUAUGCACAGACAACAAGAAGAAGAAGAAGAAGAAGAGUAAGAAGAUGAGGAGGAGGAAGAGAAUGGAAGAGAAGGAGCAGCACACUAUUGACACUAGGAACUGAAGAAGAUGAGGAGGGACAGAGUGAGUGUGCAGUGUGCCACAGGCAGACCAAGACGCUAGAGAUGUCCGUUCAGCCAUUCAAUUCUGCUGAGGGAAAGAAGUCAUGUUAGUCAACUCUGAUGACUUGUACUUUUCUUUGUGGACUCUGCUGUAAGCCAGUCACGGAAGAUGUG